rnacentral:rRNA from 1 species
UGGCUUGGAAGCAGCCAUUCAUUUAAAGAGUGCGUAACAGCUCACUAGUCGAGCGGUCCUGCAUGGAUAAUACGCGGGCAUAAGCAUAUAACCGAAGCUAUGGGAUUGUAGAUGAUACAAUCGGUAGGAGAGCAUUCCAUUCAGCAUAGAAGCAGUACCGUGAGGUAUUGUGGAGCGGAUGGAAAAGCAAAUGUAGGCAUAAGUAACGAUAAUGCGGGUGAGAACCCCGCACGCCGAAAGAUCAAGGAUUCCCCGGCAAUGUCAAUCAUCCGGGGGUAAGUCGGAUCCUAAGGGUAAGCCGAGUGGCGAUCCCGAUGGCAAACAGGUUAAUAUUCCUGUACUGAUCAUAACUGCGAUGCAGCGACGCAGAGGUGACACUGCUGCGUACUGACGGAAUAGUACGUUGAAACCCGUAUUCUUUGAUACCGGUAGUGAAGCACGCCGGUAGAGAUGAAAGGUGAUAGUACCGCAAUGCUUCGGUUGCGCGGAUAAUGCAGGUAAGCUGACUGCCAAGAAAACCUGCUAAGCUUCAGGUAAUGAUCAUCCGUACUGUAAACGGACACACGUGAUCAGGUAGAAAAUACUAAGGCGCUCGAGAGAUUCAUGGUUAAGGAACUAGGCAAAAUGGUCCUGUAACUUCGGGAUAAAGGACGCUCUUGUGAAAGAGCCGCAGAUAAUAGGCCCAGGCGACUGUUUACCAAAAACACAUGGCUAUGCUAAUUCGCAAGAAGAUGUAUAUGGCCUGACACCUGCCCGGUGCCGGAAGGUUAAGAGGAGAGCUCAGAGGCAACUCGAAGGUUUGAAUUGAAGCCCCGGUAAACGGCGGCCGUAACUAUAACGGUCCUAAGGUAGCGAAAUUCCUUGUCGGGUAAGUUCCGACCUGCACGAAUGGUGUAACGAUCUGGGUACUGUCUCAACCAUGAGCUCGGUGAAAUUGUAGUUCCGGUGAAGAUGCCGGAUACCCGCAACGGGACGGAAAGACCCCGUGAACCUUUACUGCAGCUUUGCAUUGAUUUUGGGUAACAGAUGUGUAGGAUAGGUCGGAGGCUUUGAUGCUGCGUCGUCAGGCGUAGAGUAGCCGUCGUUGAAAUACGACCCUUUUGUUAUCUGAGGUCUAAUCCCGUUAGGGAGACAUUGCAUGGUGGGUAGUUUGACUGGGGUGGUCGCCUCCAAAAGUGUAACGGAGGCUUCUCAAGGUACCCUCAAGGCGUUUGGUAAUCGUCUGCAGAGUGCAAUGGCAUAAGGGUGCUUGACUGUGAGACCGACACGUCGAUCAGGUUGGAAACAAGAGCAUAGUGAUCCGGUGGUUCCGCAUGGAAGGGCCAUCGCUCAAAGGAUAAAA